rnacentral:lncRNA from 1 species
GUCCGGCUCUCGUAGGAGUCCGGACGAAGUCUUCUUGCAGUUGGAGUCGGAGACGAAGUCCGGCUCCCGUAGGAGUCCGGACGAAGUCUUCUUGCUGCUGAAGUCGAGGAUGAAGUCCGGCUCCCGUAGGAGUCCGGACGAAGUCUUCUUGCAGUUGGAGUCGGAGACGAAGUUCGACUCCCGCAGGAGUCCGGACGAAGUUUCCCUGCC